rnacentral:lncRNA from 1 species
AAUAACUCAUUGUUAACUUCAUCAAUUAUAACAAAGCUGUUCACUAAUCAGGAAUUGUUCGGGUGUGUAUUGCAAUACAAAUCUCCAGACACAAAAGAACAGAAUAUCCUGAAAGGCAGCCUUAUUAGUAUAUGUACAGAAAGAUUUGUUGCUGUGACACAAAGUAACAGUUAUGCUAAGACAGAAAUGACAGACCAUUAGAAGGGAUUUAUAUCUGCCUUUUGAGAUACACAGUUCUGGGAAAAGUGGUGUUGGUUGCCAUUGCAGAGAGGAUAUAUGUACAUAGAAGGCAGGAGAUGAUGGGAGCAUCUUGGCUUUUAUCAAAGUGUUCUCACUGGCCUCAGCCAACACCUGCCCCAUUACCUCUCAUCCUUUCCCAUCAGGCCUCAGCAGUAAGAGUCGUCCUGCUUGCUGACAUAUCUAAUGAACACAGCAAAGAAUGUGUCCUAAGAACAAGCAGGAAUGGGGGCUGUUGAGUGUCAUAAUGCCCCUUCAGCAAUGGGCUAGGUUUGGGUAUACCAGUGGCCACUGACAGCCUUAGCCCUGGGCUGGCAGUGGGCUUUCACUGGGAGGAAUGGUGGAACCUACACAACGGUGUCUGCCUCACUAGUUGAAGGAAGGACCUGUAAGAAGAAGUAUGAGUGUCUUCAGGAGUUGUCACAGGCAGAUGGAAGUGGUGCCAGGAUUUAAUUGGAGUUAUAGCCAAGCCAAGAAGGAAAGACAAAGCUUUGAAGAUUCCAGAUGCCAGACUGAAAAUCAGAGAAGAGCUGGACUUGAUAAGACAUUCCACUAUAUUUACAGAGGUAUCAGUGGUCCUGCGCACCACCAUGAGUGCUUCCCAUUUGGGAAAAGGCAAGCAACUCUCUCUCUUCCUUCCUGGUUGGUGAAAGUGAGUGUUUGAUAGUAUGCUUUAUGCAUAUAACAUGAGCUUGACCUCACAGUCAAGAGUUUGCCUUUUAUUUCUUAUUAGUUAGGAAUUGUUCAUUGGAAAUAGAAUUGCAUUGGAAAUGUAAUUGGAAAAAGUGCAUUGGAAGGAGAAUCAUCAUGGCAGAUCAAACUUUCAGAUGAAGAUAGGCCUGAUAAAUUCUUAAAAAUAUUCCUGAUGGGCAUUUUCAGUGUGGGAACAGAGACUCUGAAAUAGGUUUUCUGUCAUAAGAACAACCAAUGUAUGCUUGUUUUGAUUAGUACUGGCAAGAAUAUGGCUACAUCGAUUACCAAUUCCAGGUUUGCUUUGGAAGAGGAGAGCUGGGUCUAGACUACUGCAAUUGUUUGGGAGGCACUGGACACAGAAUGUGCACAUCAACACAUGCAUGGGCUAUGAGAUGUCAUCCAUGCCCAUCUCUGAUCUCUGUGGUGUAAAAUGGCACUGAAAUAAGCUUCAGAGAGACUGUGUGCAAUGCCCACAGUCAUGAAGAACCUGUUUCUGAGCUGGAAAUGGUGCCCAGAUCACCCAGGACACCACAUCUCAACAAUACCUACCUUCCUGCUGCCUUUAGUCUGUCUUUUCUCUCCUUAAACACUAAUGCUUGUUCCUAUUUCUUCUGCAGUUAAUUAGCAGAAAAGUAUUUAUUCGCUUUGAGAAAAAUAAACAACA